GAACACUGAAACCAAACUCCUCCCUUUGCUAAACAUUGAUAGGUCCUCUUGCCUAGAGAACAAUAGUUUGAGUAGUUGUAUAUGCAGCUGAGAGGACAGUAUUUUUUUGUCUUCAGUUGAUUUACAGAUACCGCACGUGGAUCAAGUUGUUUUUGACUUACACCAAAAUAGCUUCAAAUGCAGGUGCCAGGGACUAUCAGCACAGUAGGAAAAAAAACAUUUUAGAAGAGCUUUCUUACCUGGAGCAAUAAAUCCACAAUCAAUCGUACGUGAACAAACAUGAGCAGGAAACUGGCUACCUCAGACUCAUCUAAAUUUAUCUGGAAAGCAAUGUUCUUUGCAUGAUGAGAAUCCAUGGGCAUUCAUCAGAGAAUGGAUGUCAUACCUCAACAGCAAGAUAUACGCAACAUGUCAGAGAUGGCUGCUAGUUCUAUAAGAUGUCAGAGCAACAAGCUUUUUCUCCAAGUACAACAAAAUAUGGGAGUCUAUUUGACACCUGAUACAAGACCUGCAGUUUCGCUUGCCAAAUCACCUCUGAAUUCCCCUAGACAGAAGUGAGAAUCCAGAUUCCCUCAGGAUUAGCUCAACCACAGAUCCUACAGCAUAAGACAUCAUCAAAACCCCAGGGUAGCAAAAGUGAGCUUGUCAGUUUGUGGCUGUUGGAAGCACUCCUUCCCUCUCCCAGUCUUGCAGGACACAUAUUUUUUGUCAGAUGAUGCAAGGCAGCAGAUGUCCCAUGAGGAAAAAGAAUCUAAUAAUUCUGAAUUACAAGAAUCAAAGUAAUCUAAAUUCCCCAUCUGUUGCCUAGUGUCUGUCAAAGAAAAUCUCAGUGCUCUGAGAAUGAGAUGCAGAGUUCUUGAUGCAAUUAAAGACUGAAGGAAGGCACUAAGCUUUUUUUUUCCUAGGCUACUUUUCAUAGUCCAAAGAAGAAACCCAGCACUAGCGAGAUACAGACAGUAAAUAAUUUCCCACUUUUUUGCAGUUUGAACAUCUGUGACUCUGUAACAUAGAAUAGAAUAGACA